rnacentral:lncRNA from 10 species
AUGGAAAAAAGCCAGCAGAUAAAUCAUCUGGCCUUCCUCCCCUAUGACAGACUGUUCUGAGCCACAGUGUUUCACAUGUCUUCCUGGAGAUGUCCCACAUGACUUGAGCAACCAGCUGGAGCUCUGGAGAAACUGUGGCCAUCCUGAGGAAGAAACAGGCCCAGAGAAGUUGGGUAACUCAUCAAAGGUCACAGAGCUAAGAGUGGCAGAGUCAGGCCUGGAGCCCAGGAAGUCUGGUUUCGAAUUUCAUGCUUCUAACCUGAGCACUGUACUGCUUGGUGGAGUUCUCUGCUAGUCCUACCUUUCAGGCAGAGGUGAUGCAGCAAGAAAGCUGCCACCAGAUGCAGCCCCUUGAUCUCGGACUGCCCAGCCUCUAGAACUGAGUUGAAGAGCAAUUCCCUCCAGUUUCCAUUAGAAAUGCUUCUUCUUCCAUAUCAAAUAUUGUGAGAUAGCCUGAAACACCUUUCAACACUUUACUACCCUUCUCCAAAAUUCAACAGAUAUGAUUUCCACGGACUUUACUCACAGGGGCUUCAGUAGAAGAGGAAGAGGCUUGGGUUUAAUUGAAGGUGGCCUGAGACAUCUGUGAGGAACAGCCCUUUUAGAGACAUAUCCCCUACAAAUAAAGCAUCAGAAUUAUUAUCCUAA